GGCGCUAUAGUGUAGUGGCUAUCACAGCGGAUUCUGACUUCUUACUAUGUUCCGCUAACCCAGGUUCGAACCCUGGUAGCGCCU